AGGAAGCGGGUGCGCUGCGGUAGCUUUGAUGCAGCGCUUAUCUGCGACGUGGAGUGCCCUGAGCCCGUUCCAGGGAGGCGGCAGCAAAGGAUGUGCGUGCAAAAGUGCGGGCAUCGAGCACCUCUAGGCUGCCCUGGAGCUUGGCUUUUCGAAAGAGGCUGUAGUUAAAGCCAGAUAAUGAAGCUGGACAAUGAAAGCUGCACAAAUUUGGGGUGAUUUUGCUUUUUUGUUUCUUGUUUUUCUGGCUUUAAACGUGUGCUUCUCCCACCUUCUCUUUUCUUAUAGUUUUAAUUCAAUUUUAUCUAAAUGCACUUCCCCUCCUUCCCAAUUUCAUCUGUGCCACAGCCACUGCAGAAGCACAGCAUGACAUGGAGAUUUUCUGUCCCUAGGAGCCUUCGUAUGACCAGGGGCACAGGAGAAAGGAGGAAUUCCUACAACUACCCACCGUUGCCUAUGACUGCCUAUUGAGCCUUAGCCAAACACUGCUCAGCUUCGAGCACAGCAGCGUUGUCCCCAGCAGCCCCAUCCCCAAAAGAGAGACAAGGCCACCAGUGAGGGACCUCUGGGGACAUGCACACAGCAGGUGGCAGUGCCCAGGCGCCCGCCCAACACGGGGGAUUGCUCCACACCACCGCUUCCUUCCUGCUUUCAGGAUGGGGAAAUGGUUUUGCAAGGGAUCUGUUGGCUGUUGGCAGCUUUUCCCAGCUGGGCACAGAGCUGAAUUGCCAAUGGGUGCGAGGGGGGGAGAGAGGAAAGCGAGCGGAGGCUGCUUUGUAAAACUUUAUUUAGAAAUAUUCUUGAUAUAUUCAUUAUAUAUAUAUAUUUAUAUAUACACACACAUUACAACAAAUGUGUUUUCUAAAUAGCACAUCCACAGUGGGUCGAGAGUCAGGGUACCGGGUCUGGUUACCUUGUUUCUGCUGAAAAAAUGCAGAAAGCCAAAGGGAGGGUGGCAGAGAGAGGGACGGGGCUGGGAGAGAAAAUAAUGGCAGGGGGAGAAUUCAAUCACACGGUACGACACUGAGCAGCAGUGCUGUUCCAACAGAACCGGGGCGAUGUUCCACACACGGAGACGUGAAGCAGGCAGGGGGGAAGGUGGGUGGAUGGGGGAAAUGUACCAUUCAAUCACGAUUAAAGGACAACUGUACAUACCCCGGGAGGACGGCAGCGUGCUAUGGGCAGGUGUGCGUGUGGGGACCGAGGAGGUUGUACCAUUGGCCAACUGUCCAGCUACCAAAAAGGGAGAAAUUAAACAAAAAAAAAAAACAGCAAAACAAA